rnacentral:lncRNA from 1 species
ACCAGCCCUUUUAAUGGUCUCCCUUAAGCUGACUUGGUGAAGCCAGUGGAAGGAUCAUGAUAAGCUGGUUCAUCUGACCUCAUCCUCUAAAUCAUUUAAAUCCUCUAAAAUUAUUAGGUCCUUAAAAUGAUAAAGUUAUGGAGAUAACUGAGUCAUAGCCUCCCAUUAAAGUGUUUGAUAAUGAGUCCAUUAACUCAAUAAUCAUUGCAGACCCAAAGGCCUGGUGCUUGUUGACUAAUAGAAUUAUCACUCAUC